rnacentral:rRNA from 1 species
GCUCAGAUUGAACGCUGGCGGCAGGCCUAACACAUGCAAGUCGAGCGGUAACACAGGGAGCUUGCUCCUGGGUGACGAGCGGCGGACGGGUGAGUAAUGUCUGGGAAACUGCCCGAUGGAGGGGGAUAACUACUGGAAACGGUAGCUAAUACCGCAUAACGUCUUCGGACCAAAGAGGGGGACCUUCGGGCCUCUUGCCAUCGGAUGUGCCCAGAUGGGAUUAGCUAGUAGGUGGGGUAAUGGCUCACCUAGGCGACGAUCCCUAGCUGGUCUGAGAGGAUGACCAGCCACACUGGAACUGAGACACGGUCCAGACUCCUACGGGAGGCAGCAGUGGGGAAUAUUGCACAAUGGGCGCAAGCCUGAUGCAGCCAUGCCGCGUGUAUGAAGAAGGCCUUCGGGUUGUAAAGUACUUUCAGCGAGGAGGAAG